rnacentral:misc_RNA from 1 species
GGCAACACUGUCGUUGUAUUGUUGUUGUUUCGUGACAGGAGAAGUAACACCUGAACAUUGAACACCAGGAUAAUUAUCACAAUAUAAAGUGAUUGGAAAUUAACUGGUGCAGUAUGAGAUGUUACAACAAUACUUUGAAAAAUUUAACUGCACCAUAACAGCUGAAAAUGACCAAGUGGAGCCUGGAACAAGAGGUGCCACCACCAACACUGCACCAUCACCACCUAUGCCAAGGUCCUGCAGCACCAAGUAAUGUACUACACCACCUGUGAUUUGUACACCAAAUGAAUCUACCAUCACACCAGACCAGGACCUCUGUGAAAGAAGACACGUGAUGGUGCAGAUGGGGCGAGUGCAGCAUGUCCCAGGCACCAGCAACACCAGCAGAGAGUGGUGGUGGUAAGCUGCAGCCGCCGCACAAUGUGGUGGUAUAUGUGGCAGGUGAGGGGGGUGGCCAGGCUGGGCCGGGAGGGGCACAGGGACCACAGCGUCCCAUGAUCACACCUCAUCCAGUUAAACCCACCAACCCCCACAUGGUCAAUGGCUUUAGGGUUGCUAACCCAUUGCACCAUCAACAGCAACAACCUGGCUACAGCAUGCCAAUGACUGACAGCCUUCAGCAGCAGCAGCAACAACAGUUCCUCAUGAAUAAAAUGAAUGGGUUGGAUGGAACCAAUAACUGUUUCCCAUCUAGCCAGGCACCACAGCAAGUGCAGUACCUUCCUGGUGGUAAUUAUGUCACCACCGUCACUGUGCAUGCCUCAGAACAAUCACAGCAGCACAGUCUUCAACAGCAGCAGCACACAAGAGCAGUAAAUCAACAACAACAACAGCCGCAACCACAACAGCACCAGCAGCAACAACAACAGCAACAACAACAACAACAACAACAACACCUACAAAACCAAGUCAAUGUGAUGGGCACCAUGAAUGGUUAUGUGCAAAAUGGUGUCAUGAUGCAAGUGAAUAAUGCAAACCUGGGUAACAACCCUGCUAUGAUGAAUAACCCACAGAUGAUGAAUAAUCAGAUAGUGACCAAUAACAGCUGUAACAACACCACAAUGAUGAAUAACAAUAACAUGGUAGUAGCUCGCCCAAGAACUAGUUCCCGUUGUGACUCCGUGAGAUCGGAAACUGCAGAGUCCAGUUGUAGUAGUUUAAGCUCCGAUAGUCAGACAGAACACACUCAACAACAGCAUCACCAACAACAACAACAAACAAAUAAUCAGUUUAGUAAUAGUCAACAGUACCAAGUCAAUGUGAUGAACAAUCCACAGUAUAUGAACAACCAUAUGCAAACUAUGAAUCCAAACAGUUACAAUUCUUACCCAAACUACAUGGCCUGUCAGUCACCUGGCGGGAGUAAUCCAAGCGGGAUGAAUCAAACAGGUGUGUACAACAAUCAAAACAUUGUGCAGGCCUUCCAUCAAGUGAACACAGUGCAGCAUGUGCAAAUGCAAGGGGGACAGUUACAAAUAAUGCAACAGCAAUACCAGUAUGUGCAGGGCCAAAAUAUGAAUGUGAUGCAACAGGCACCUGGAGUGAGUGUAAACAAUGUGCAAAGGCCAUGCAUGAUGCAAGCUGGGGGGGUGGUUCAGGGGCAGGGGACCAAUGCAAUGCAUGGGCAAGUCAUGCAGGGCCAAAACAAUUGUGCUCACAAUGUCAACAUGAUGCAAGGCCAGGGCAUGAACAUGGUGGCAGGACAGCCUGGAAUGAACACCAUGCAAGGUCAGAACAUGAAUAUGAUGCAAGGGCAGCCUAUGAAUGUUGCACAACAGCAGGGUGGAAAUGCAAAUAUGAUGAGUGGCCAAUAUCACGCAGGUCAUGGACAAGGUCUGAUGGGUCAAGGUAACCUAGUGAUGGGAGGGCAAAAUAGUGGCCACUGUACUGGUGUUAUGGGGGUACAAAAUCAUCAUCCCCAGCAGCACAUGAUGAGUGGAGCAAUGAUUCCUGAUCAUCAGCAACAAGCAGUGAUGAUGCAAGGCAACAUGACCAUGGUGCCUGUGGGAGCCAAGAUGGCAGGUACCAACAUGAAUCACGCCAGUAUGAUGGGAUGCUCGGGUGCUCCUGUGGGAGUUGUCAACUCUCCGUGCAGCGGUUUGCCUGCAGGUGCCCCUACCGUUCACGCUGCUGUGGACAAGAAUUUUAUGCCACUCAUUGUACCCUUUGGAUGGAGGAGAGUGGCAAAUAAUGGACAAGUCGUCUAUACCAGUCCGAGUGGCAGUGAACUACGUAGCGUACCUGAGGUGGCUGAGUACCUGGCCACUGAGGGCACGUGUAAGUGUGGGCUGCAGUGUCCCCUCCGCGUCGAACACACCUUCAACUUCGACCCCAAGGUACCGUCGCGGCCCACACUGCUGCCGGAACUCGGGGCGGGUGACAUGACCAAGCUGUGUAAUCAUCGUCGGAAGCUGGCCAUCGCCUUCACACAUCACCUUCACAAUAAUGCUAAGAAAGAGGAUGGACGGAAAAAAAGAAAGCGGAAAGCACCAGAAGCUGUGGAGACCCCCAGCCAGAUGCCUCGAGGACCAACCCCCUCUCAGAUACUUAGGGGGACACCCAAUCCUGCAGGGAUGCCUCGGGGAGCAGCCCCACCCUCACCGAUGGCAUGUGGUCCUCACAAUGCUGUACAUAUUCCCAGAUUACCUUCACCUGCCCAGAUGGUAUGUGGCAGCACUCCCACACCAACACAGAUGCCCCGAGGAGCCCCCACACCCUCACAGAUCCCGCAGUUCAACCCGCAGCAACAACAACAACAUCAUCAUCAUCAUCCACAUGCAUUCCAACAACAACAACAUCAACAACAACAACAACAACAACAACAACAACAACAACAACAGAACUGGGGGAUGAUGGGAGGUAUGGCAGGCAUGGUAGGUGGGGGAGGAUAUACUGGUCGGCCUGGCGUCAUGAACACCCCUCAAGGAUGUGGUCACCCUUACCCUCAACAACACUGUCCCCCAGCUUCUCACUCCUGCUGUGACGUCCACCACCACUUUCAACCUAAUAUGAAUGCCAUGACAGGGCCCAACAUGACACCAACCAUGGGGCCAGGAAUACGACCAACUAUGGCUCCAGGUUUUGGGGAGAUGGUGCUCCCCAACAUGUGUCGGUCCGGAGAUCCUUCAGUGUUCCGUGGUGUGAGGCCUCAGGGGCAGAGUCCUCACCAGCCACUGCCUCAACAACAACUCCAGCAGCCACAGCCACAACCACAGCAGCCACAGCAACAGCAGCAUCUUUCAGUGCAACAACAACACCAGCCAGUCCAACAGCAGCAUCAGCCACAACAACAACAACAACAACAACUUCAGUCACAGCCUGAGCAGCAUCAAUCACAACAUCAGCAGCAUCAGUCACAGCACCAUCAAUCACAGCAACAUCAACAUCAAUCACAUCAAUCACAGCAACUGCAACAACAUCAUCAACCACAGAAACAUCAUCCACAGCAGCAGCAGCAGCAACAACAACAACAACAACAACAACAACAACAGCAACAACAGCAACAACAACAACAACAACAACAACAACAACAACAACAACAACAACAACAACAACAUCAUCAUCAUCAUCAUCAACAAACUCAACAAAAGGAACAGUCCCAACAACAACAACAGCAGCAGCAACAACAGCACUUGACAGCCCCUCCCCCACCACCGCCUCCAUCAGCUAUGAUGGCGCCUGGGUCACAUAUGAUGACAGGCAUGAGAGGUGUUGGACCACAUCCAUCUAACUUCAUGAACAACAUGAUGUGUCGUAUCCCAGGCUCUGGCAUGAUGCCUCCACGUGUGAUGCCUCCCGGGGCAAUGCCUUCGCCUCAAAGUUCAAAUGAGCAACCAUCAGUUCCUGCGGCAUUUUGGGAAGAUGGAGAAAAACGGCGUAAGACCGGAGGACGAGCGAAGAAACGCUUCAAAGGUGCCGUAGAGAGGUCCUCACCGUGUCCUAACAUAGAUAUUAGGAAUAUGCACACUGACCAUUGUGGGCCAGGCCCUCCGCCACCACCUGGACCUUCUUUCAUGGAUGACCCUAGUGGGUACCUGGCACAGCAAACUGCUCUGUUGAAUAACACUAUGGCUGGUGGUGGGAUGGGCCAGUUCUCUCCACAGGCUCCUAGACCUCCUCCACCAACCCCUUCAGUGCCACAGUCACCAGCCACACCAAGUGGAAUUGUGGUUAUGUCCCAACAGCAACUUCAGUCUCAGACUGGAACAUUAGCUGUGGGAAACAAUAAUGGAACCCGGACAGCUCAGAUGUCAUCCUCUCCAGCUGUAGUCCCAUUGCCUAGUAAUGUUCCUUUACCUGCAAGAGUUAGUAAGGCUGCCACUCAGACUACCAAUACCAUCAUUACCACACCUUCUGUCCUCCCCACUCAGUCUUCACACACCAGUGUUGCAAGAACAGCCACCCCAACUUUUUCGUCGCCCGUGACCAACACUGUUACGUCCACUCCUCAUCACCAGACCCCUCAGACCCCCAUCACUCCUUCAGUAGCUAAAGACAGAAAUGGCAAUCAGCCAGAAGUCACCUGUGAUCAUAUGAGUCAGAGUGAUGGAGAGACUCCCAAUGUUACCACUGCAUCAGUAGCCAAGGUUGAGUCUAGUAACCUUGUCCACACUACCACUGUCACCUAUACUCUCUCCUCAACUCCAACAACAAAUACAAAAGUCACUAAUACCAUGCCCAUUACCACUCAGGCUGGAUGCUUGCGUCAGAAAGAAAAGGACAGCAUAUCGUGCUUCAAGUCGGAAGAAGACGAGUCACAAAAAAUUAAGUGUGAAUCUAGUAUACCUAUUGAGAGCUUGAAACCCUCUCCAGUUAGUGCAGCUAAUGUAAGAGAAUCUGUCAAGAUAGAAUGUUACAAGAAUGUAGGGAAUGUAAAACAGUGUGAAAGUGAAGAAAUCAGUCGUGAGCAGCUUACCACAAGUGGCCCUGGCAGCAGUAGCGAAGGUCUUUCAGCCAACAAACCCCUUACACCUGGACCCCCUAGUGUUAGUGCUGGAGCAGGAGUUACACAAUCCCCCUUGGAGAUGGUACAAAGUAUAGUUAGUAGUAUUCCUGUUCCAUCUUCUCUGGGACCAGUAAGACCAGGAUCUCAGCAACAGCCACCACCACCACCACCACCACCACCAAUACCUCCACAGCAACAUAUGCAACAACAGUUAUCACAGCAACAGCACGCAGCAGUCCCAGUACCUCUGUCUCCUGGCAUAUAUAAUGGUCCUAUCUCCACAAGUGUAACUGUUUAUGGGGGAGGUGGUUCAGGAGGGUUGGUGCAUGCCUCAGGGCCCCUGAUAGUGAGUGGACCACCUCCUGCUCAGACCAGUGUUUUUGUGACUAGUAGUGGUGGGUGUAAUGGCCCAACAAACAUGGUAAUGGUCUCGUCUCCAUUCAACACAAAGGGUAGUGGUGCGACUGGUGUAACUGUUACAUCAGGAGUUGUGGGUGUACAAGCUGCCAUGCCACAAAUGCAAGUUCAGCAACAAAUGGCACCUAUGCAACAGCAUUUACAACCUCAGUUACAGCCACAAUUACAACAACAACUGCAACCUCAGCUACAACAGCAGCUUCAGUCUCAAUUACAACCACAAUUACAACCUCAGCUUCAACAGUUUCAGCCUGUACAGCCCGUGGUGCAGCUAGUCAACACCUUUGCCACGAUGCAGGCUCCAGUUAUUAUCCAGAACGGUGGUAACAUUAUCCAGUCAUCUACAGGUCUCUUGCCUAGCCCAGGUGGUAUGUUGACUGGUCCAACUCCUCUUACACAGGGUACCAUUAUGACUGGUCAGUCACUUGUUCCUGCCACUGCUGCUACACUGGCAGUAGAGGGCACGCAUCAUCAUCAUCAUCAUCAUCAGCAGCAGCAGCAGCAGCAGAGCCACCAGGUUGGCCAACCACAGUCUUCUCCACACCUUCAAGUGGCACAGGUGGUCACUACUGGACUUACAGGAGAAACCAUAGAUGAUGUUAGAACAAGAAACACUUCAACUCCACUUGGCACUUCAGGUUCAACACCAUCCACUCCACAUUCAACUCCAGGGUCCACUCCAGGAUCAGACACUCCUUCAAGUGGUGGCUCCUCAGGAGGACGUCGCCGCAAGCGAAGACGCAACACCUCCACACCACAAGGAUCAUCUACCUCACACUCUUCACCACAACAUCAACAGCAAGGCUUGGUACCAGCAAUUAUCAUGGGCAACAAAGUCCCUCAACAUAUGGUAAUGAACAGCCCUCACAUGACUCAAGUAUCACCAUAUGGUGCAAUGGGAACCAUGGCUGCUGCUGGACAGAUGGCACAGGUAGCCACAGUCACAAGUCAGGUAGGAGGUGGGCAGAUGCUGCAGGCAGCAACUGCUCAAGGAACAGGUGCCAUUAAUGUUGUUCAGAUGGUUGGGAACACAUUACCAAACUUGCCUGUCCAAGUGCACAAUCCACCUGCCAUUGUAGUAGGCUCAGCACCACCUCAGGGUGUUGUUAUAAACCAGCUUUCAGAUGGUACAUUUAUAUCAACAGACCCUCAUACUGGUAUGUCUUACCCUGUACAGUUACAGUUAUCUGGAGGCCAUAUAGUAGGUGUGUCACCUACAGUUAGUGCUGCUGGUGGCAUGGUGGGCCCACUGACUCCAGGACCAACAGCAGGGAGUAUGCCAGCCAUGGUUGCUGUGCGUCCUCCUGUACCUCACACAACCACUGUUGUCAGUGGCGCCAAGGUGGUAAAUAUUUCACCGGCAUCAACACAACUGACGGGUGGUGCAGGUGUGCAUGUUUUACCUGUGACAGCAGCUACUGCGAGUUAUGCAGCUCCUGGCAACAGUGUGAGUCCGGGCCAAGCUGUGUGUAUGGGUCAAGGAACGGCACCAUCUGUGGUAGUGACUUCUGAGUAUGUGAACGGUCAGCCUGUUGUAAUAAGUGGCAGUGGUUGCAGUAGUAAUACUACAGUUGUUCAGCACAAGACUACAAUAGUCCAGCAACGUACUACACUUGUUGCUACGCAGAGUGGUGACGAGUCUGGUACACAUUCCUCUGUAUCAACACAAACCCCAGGUGGUUUAGGAGAAAGUGAUGUUAGCAGUUCAGACUGUGUGAGUGCAGCAGCACCGUCUUCGCCGUCUCAUCAGAGUGCAGAGGUCACCACGACCCGUCAUGAUGAGGAUGCCACUCCCCCUAACGACCCUCCCACUCCACUUCCACCGCACUCCCCGGACAAGAAUAAGCAUAUCAUCCCUGAGGAGCUUCACAGUGCAUCCACUCCAGAGGAGGCGGUGACGUGCGGCCGCGGAGUGGUGUGGGGGCCGCAUAGGGGCCACCACUACUGGCCGGCUCAGGUGCUUCACCAGCUGGACACCUUCACGUGCUGAAUGGCCAACACCAGCACACCAAUAUGUGCUCAAGGAAUGUACCACUGGGAUGAAUAUCAUUGAUGCAACAUUCGUCUGUUUGUACUAAAAAAAUGUGUAUGAAGAAUGAGGAUUGCCAGAAGUUUGCACAGAGGAGACAUAAUCGGAGAGGCAGAACUUACAAGAUAAAAGAUUAAGGUCGUUUAUGAAGGUGCCUGAGAGUUAUCCCUGCAGAACACCCCCUGGGAGAACUAUCUUGCUCUGGAGGCUUCCUUCUUUCUUAGGCAAGGACACCCUACUGUUGGAGCGGUGCAAAUUGUUGAAUUUUUGUAGCUACAGUACAGUACAUGCUUGGCUGAACUAGGGAUUACAAAGUUUCAACCAAUAGCUGUAAGUGGUUUGAAAUAGUAGCAAGUCAGAGAGAUGAAACUUAAAGUUGGUUUGUUCAAUUUAAUUCUGUUUAUUUUACUUACCUGAAGCCCACUGAGAUCAUGUGUUUAUUGUGAUUUAUUCCACUCCACCUCAGGCAUGAUUCUGUUGUUAGCACUUUACUGGUUUCAUGUGAUGUCAAGUCCAACUGACUCCCUGAUGGGAAUUUUGUCUGUGAGCUUUGUUCAGAUUUCCUUAAUCUUAUGGACCAGUAAUGAAUAUUGUGGGGUUUGUGUUAUUAUAUCAUACUUGGCCUUAAAAUUUGACUUACUGGGAUACUCUCGUCCCAGUGUUCUCCGUGCCUUUCAGAGAGCUCGUACUGUAGCUACGUCCACUCCUUGAUGAGAUUUGUAUCACGGUUUAUUAUCAGCGUCAGUUACCGUGGCUGGGCUGUCUGGACUUGUUCAUUUUGAAACAUUUUGAAGGAUUAAUUAUCAGCCUCUCAGAGGGCUUGACUCUGAAUGGUAAAUCUUUCAUCAGACAUUGUGGUUCUCUUUAGUGUUGAGGGACAUGGUUGGGGUGCCUCCUAUUCCUUGCUAAUUUAAAACCUUGCCAGUUAUUUAUUAAAUGGGCCUUAGGCCAAAAAAAACAUUGGAUUAAAGGUCAAAAUCCUAUUAUAUGGCCAAGGGGAAGAGGCAACUGUCCUAGAGGGGCCUCCCUCCACCCCUCCUCAUUGAUUGUUUCUUAGUUGGUAGAAAAAUGUGAGGAAUGAAGUUUGUAACUCAAGUUAAUAAUUGAGGGUACUGUCAAGCAAAUUGGUUCCAGGGUUUGGAUAUUUUUAUUCAUGGACGAGUUGACUUUUAGCAGCAGCAUCAGAUCAGGGUUAGAGCGUACCUCAUGAGCCGUGGGUCAACUAGACAAGUAGCUGUUCAUUCAACAAUUGACUGAUACAACAGGCCAGUGUCUCUGUCUCAGACUGUAAGCUGCCUCCAGAAUAAGGUCGGCUCUGUCGGGGGGUGUUCUGGCCUGGGGGUCCGUCAGGUUACUCGUCUCUUCCUCUUCAUUAUUAAAUGGAAUUUCAUUCUUCAACUGUUUUCUUUAUUUUUGCUACUAUAGUAUUGCAUUUUUACAUACUCAAGAUUUAAGAUUUUUCCUUCCAUGGUAUUAAUUAAUUUUCAUACAUUCAAUUGAAUCACCAAAAAUAAACACUGAAAAUAAAUACAAAGUUUAGGAAUAACAAAGGUAUUUACUGGCUUUUAAAAAUGUUUUCACUUUCUAAAAAUAAACCUCUAGUUAAGAUCAAUUAAAUUUGGUGGGUAAGCUGUGUUAAUUCAGGUGUGAGGUGUUAGAAAUUCAUCUUGGUGAAACAUGUAUUUGUUCAACAGGUUGGUGGUGAGUGUGUGGUGCAGUGGUACGGGGAUCAUAGGGUGGACACUGUGAAACAUUCCGUCCUGUCCACGCUCCCCAUCGUCCCACCCAAAGUGCCCACGCGACGCAGUGUGAGAGGGAGAAAUGCUUUAAAUAAAGCCAUAAGU